CCUGAAGAGAUUUGGGAGUGCUCGCAAGAGAGCCUGAACACAGGUGCUGCAUGGCUGUCGUCAGCUCGUGUCGUGAGAUGUUGGGGUUAAAGUCCCGCAAACGAGCGCAACCCUUGUCAUUAAUUGCCAUCAUUCAGUUGGGCACUUUAAUGAGACUGCCGGUGACAAACCGGAGGAAGGUGGGGGAUGACGUCAAGUCCUCAUGGCCCUUAUGGGUAGGGCUUCACACGUCAUACAAUGGUCGGUCCAGAGGGUUGCCAACCCGCGAGGGGGAGCCAAUCUCAGAAAGCCGAUCGUAGUCCGGAUCGCAGUCUGCAACUCGACUGCGUGAAGUCGGAAUCGCUAGUAAUCGCGGAUCAGCAUGUCGCGGUGAAUACGUUCCCGGGUCUUGUACACACCGCCCA
rnacentral:rRNA from 1 species